AGCCUGUGAUGACAAACCAAACCAAAAGAUUUUCUGACACCUCAUAUGAGAGCAGCACUGCACCUCCUGAUUAACACUGUAAUCUGAGGCUC